GGGAAUGGUCGGGAUAGCUCAGU
rnacentral:tRNA from 1 species